UUUUUUUUUUUUUUUUUCUCCUUUCUUGGCCUGCACGGUUUGUGCGUCAGCCAUGUACAAAAGUUAGGAAGUGCAUUAUUAGGUUUAUUGGAUAGGAAAUUAGUACGGAAUUUGGAAAAGGAUCAGAUAAAUUUUAUUAUAAGCAAAAAAUAUAUGGUUAAAACCCCCAACGUCAUUGCCACACUCAAAUGUGUCGUCAGGCAAAAGGUUUAAGCCUUGCCAAAUGCAAGGGUAUGCAUGCAUGGCCCAGCCUCAUACAUAUAAGGGUCGAAGUAAUAUCUUUACCAAGCGUCAAAGUAGAAGUGGAAGGGUGAGACGCAUCGAUUGUGACUACAUGAGACACCUGGAGGGAUGUCCCUCCAGGGUCUUCGGGCUCCAUCACGGACGACAAGAAAAAAAUUCUUAUCUACAUAUAAUAAAAUAAAAUAACUUACCAGGCUACUAAGACAAACUAAAAAUAUAAAUAAUCAACAAUAACUACUACUAUAUACACCUUAUAACUUAACUGAUCCUGUAUUAUUAUAUUAAUUUAAUUUUCAAAAUUUAAGCCAAAAAAAAGACGCCCGCCUAUUUUUACACUUCCCGCGCUUUUUUCUCAUAAUAUGUUGUAAAUAAGAAUAAUCAGCUGCUCUGAUUCCACAGACUAGGAAACCUAGAUGCUGC